UGAGGUCAGUUUGAUCUGUGAAGCCU
rnacentral:piRNA from 1 species